UACAGAGGGUGCGAGCGUUAAUCGGAAUUACUGGGCGUAAAGGGCGCGUAGGCGGCCUUCUAAGUCAGACGUGAAAUCCCCCGGCUUAACCUGGGAACUGCGUCUGAUACUGGAGGGCUUGAGUGCGGGAGAGGGAUGUGGAAUUCCAGGUGUAGCGGUGAAAUGCGUAGAUAUCUGGAGGAACACCGGUGGCGAAGGCGGUUCUCUGGGCAUGUCCUGACGCUGAGGAGCGAAAGUGUGGGGAGCGAACAGG
rnacentral:rRNA from 1 species